UGGCUCAGUGGGUAAAGCGUCUGUCUGCAAUGCAGGAGACCCGGGUUCAAUUCCUGG
rnacentral:tRNA from 1 species